rnacentral:rRNA from 1 species
GCGUGAGUGAAGAAGGCCUUCGGGUUGUAAAGCUCUUUCGGCCGGGACGAAAUCGCUCUCGCUAAUAUCGAGAGUGGAUGACGGUACCGGAAGAAGAAGCACCGGCUAACUACGUGCCAGCAGCCGCGGUAAUACGUAGGGUGCAAGCGUUAAUCGGAAUUACUGGGCGUAAAGCGUGCGUAGGCGGUUUCGCAAGUCAGAUGUGAAAUCCCCGGGCUUAACCUGGGAACUGCGUUUGAAACUACGGAGCUAGAGUGUGGCAGAGGGGGGUGGAAUUCCAAGUGUAGCAGUGAAAUGCGU